rnacentral:rRNA from 1 species
AUUGAACGCUGGCGGCAUGCCUUACACAUGCAAGUCGAACGGCAGCACGGGGGGUAACCCCUGGUGGCGAGUGGCGAACGGGUGAGUAAUAUAUCGGAACGUGUCCUGUAGCGGGGGAUAACCUAUCGAAAGAUGGACUAAUACCGCAUACGACCUACGGGUGAAAGCGGAGGACAGCAAGGCUUCGCACUAUAGGAGCGGCCGAUAUCGGAUUAGCUAGUUGGCGGGGUAACGGCCCACCAAGGCGACGAUCCGUAGCUGGUCUGAGAGGACGAUCAGCCCCACUGGAACUGAGACACGGUCCAGACUACUACGGGAGGCAGCAGUGGGGAAUUUUGGACAAUGGGAGCAAGCCUGACCCAGCCAUGCCGCGUGAGUGAAGAAGGCCUUCGGGUUGUAAAGCUCUUUCGGCGGGGACGAAACGGUUCGUGCUAAUACCACGGACUACUGACGGUACCCGAAGAAGAAGCACCGGCUAACUACGUG